rnacentral:sRNA from 1 species
GGUGCCCGUCCCCCCUACCCGCCCUGCCGAAGACCCGCCUUCUUCUCCUUAAGCCUGACGGAAUCACCUGACUCGGAGGCGCUCCCUCAGAAGGAAGGAUACUAGAUGGAAACUUGAGAAAGGACUGCUUAUUGAUAACAGCUAAGGUAUUCCUGGAAGCAGAGUAAAUAAAGCUCAUGGCCCACCAGCUAGAAAGUAUUCUUGCCAUGAGAAAAAGAAUGUGAUAAGUUAUUCAACUUAUGAAAUUCAAGUUACAUGUGAAUUCUGCCAGGCAAUACAAGGACCUGUGGAAUAUGAGUGAUGACAAACCCUUUCUAUGUACUGCGCCUGGAUGUGGCCAGGGUCUCACUCUGUCACCCGGGCUGGAGUGCAGUAGCAUGAUCAUGACACACUGAAGCCUCAACCUCCUGGGCUCAGGAUCUCCCAAUGUUGUCCAGGCUGUUCUCAAACUCCUGGGCUCAAGCCAUCUGCCUACCUUGGCCU